CCCGAUGCAAACUGCGAAUACCGGAGAAUGUUAUCACGGGAGACACACGGCGGGUGCUAACGUCCGUCGUGAAGAGGGAAACAACCCAGACCGCCAGCUAAGGUCCCAAAGUCAUGGUUAAGUGGGAAACGAUGUGGGAAGGCCCAGACAGCCAGGAUGUUGGCUUAGAAGCAGCCAUCAUUUAAAGAAAGCGUAAUAGCUCACUGGUCGAGUCGGCCUGCGCGGAAGAUGUAACGGGGCUAAACCAUGCACCGAAGCUGCGGCAGCGAACGUAUCACCCAAGACAACUUUACGGAGUUGACGAUUGACGGAGCGAAGCGACGUCAAAGCGUUCAUUAAAGUCGAGUUGGCUUAGGGAUACGUUCGUUGGGUAGGGGAGCGUUCUGUAAGCCUGUGAAGGUGUGUCGUGAGGCAUGCUGGAGGUAUCAGAAGUGCGAAUGCUGACAUAAGUAACGAUAAAGCGGGUGAAAAGCCCGCUCGCCGGAAGACCAAGGGUUCCUGUCCAACGUUAAUCGGGGCAGGGUGAGUCGACCCCUAAGGCGAGGCCGAAAGGCGUAGUCGA
rnacentral:rRNA from 2 species